CGCACACUGAUUUUGUUUGGGAACCUUCCAUUUUGGGACUCUCCAAAGGACAGAAGGUUUACUCUUCCAUGGAGUGUCCUGCUUUCUCCCGGUACCUGCGUGACAUGUCUGUCUGGAUAUAGCACUGACUAGAGUUCAGAGCUGAAGGGCUGAACUUCUUUUUCAUUCCCAAUUUCUUUGAAACUUCCCCCCCUCUUCACCCCAUACUUUUUUGUACUUGCUCUUUUAAAAAGGUGUUAGCUGUUGUUGCACUGGGUACAUUUUCCUGCACUUCUCUACUGCAAGUACCUGAGACAUUGUCCUUGUUGCUGCACCUGAGCUUGAGAGUGGCUGAAGAAGAAAAGGCAGCUCAUCAUCUGCAGGAACUGGCAGCACCAUUUAACCAGUUUAACUUCACACGUUUGUGUUGCUCCAGGGGGUUGCUAUGCCUUUGUUGCAAAACUCAUCUGACCUCGUGCGCCAACAACAGUGAUACCAGUAGGUCUGCCUGGGAAACACACCCUGCCACUUCCACUGUGCACCACGCUGCGUUAGGGGAUGUUAGCAUGGCCUCAGCUCAGCUGGGAGCUGGGUCUCGCUCCUCAAUCAGAGACAACUCAUUCUCGUUAUUAAACACGCAGAACACUUCCUGGAUAUUCCCGUACACGCUCGAGAGCAUACAUUAUUGGAUCGGUACUCCUGUCUCUGCUCACCUCGCACAGCCCCGCGGGGACGGAGCGGCCCGCCGGCCGCGGCACGGAGCGUGUGCGGCUCCACUGCCCUCUCCUGGGAGCAGGCAAGCCGGAGUUCUAGAGGACUCGGGCUGCGGAGCAGAAAGCUGCG
ensembl:lncRNA